UCGCGCUGGGCGAAGCCUGACCGCAAUGCCGCGUGCAGGAAGAAAGCCUUCGGGUUGUAAACUGCUUUUGUACGGAACGAAACGGUCUGCCCUAAUACGGCGGGCUAAUGACGGUACCGUAAGAAUAAGCACCGGCUAACUACGUGCCAGCAGCCGCGGUAAUACGUAGGGUGCGAGCGUUAAUCGGAAUUACUGGGCGUAAAGCGUGCGCAGGCGGUUAUGUAAGACAGUUGUGAAAUCCCCGGGCUCAACCUGGGAAUUGCAUCUGUGACUGCAUAGCUAGAGUACGGUAGAGGGGGAUGGAGUUCCGCGUGUAGCAGUGAAAUGUGUGGAGAUGCGGAGGAACACCGAUGGCGAAGGCAAUCCCCUGGACCUGUACUGACGCUCAUGCACGAAAG
rnacentral:rRNA from 1 species